ACAAGUUGAAGAGCUUCUCCAAGAAGCUCACAGCCAAGCUCCAUGGAAAAUCAAAUCCAACUUCAAGCCUUCCAAAAUUAUUUCCUUGGUAUAAAUCAACUAUUUUGAGGUCCCUAAGUAACGUGGAAGCGUGGUUGGAGCGAUCAAGCCAUCAAUUUUGUGGAUUUCAAACCCUAGCCUAAUUGUGGAGUAAAGAAGAAAGACCUUGGGGAGCCCGAGGCGUAGAUUGAGAUUUACUUUAGAUUGGCUAUUUUGGAGUGCGUACAAGGUACAGACGCACAGUUUGGUGAUCCACCGGUUUAGGUCAUCCCCUUUUUGUUGUUGGAGUGCUCUUCUCCUUUCAGAGCAUAUCUUUCGGUAUAUAUUUUGUUCGCUAUGUAUGCAUCUAUUCAUUCAGGGGUACGGCGGGGCCCUGUCCCGCCAUAUGAUUCGUUUGGUCUGUUUAGAGGUCUGUAGACGUAUUCGUGGGUGUGUGUGCCUACCUCUGCUCAAAUGUGUUAGUAUGAGCCUAUUCGUUAUGGCAGCCUCGUCGGCGUGCAUUUUGUAUAUGUUUUGGUUAUGGCAGCCUUGUCGGCGUGCACUUGGUAUAUGUUUUGGGGUCGUCGUGCCAUUUGAUAGCCUUGUCGACUUUUGAUAUAUGUAUACGCCUAUGGUUAUGUUAAAAAUGU